UAAUAUUACGUUGAAACAUCUCGCACUCCUGGCUUCGAGUAAAUCAUACAUCUUCCCUCCAGAAGUAUCCUAGUUCCUGCAGAGAAUAAUAAAACGACGGAAAACGGGCUCGAAAGGAUCGCGCGUUCAAAUUAUAUUAACAAGGACACGACAGCUCGGGAUAGAUUAGCUCCGGAUGAGAUGGCGUCGGUACUGAUUUAAUAGAUGUAGCACGAAGAAAUAGCAAUACACAAAAGAACAAAUGAAAUAAAAGCCGGGGCGAUGACAGGGAUGACGGCGAAAGAAUCGUGAGAUUAGAGUGUUGUAAGACGAUACUACAAUUCCGCUAUUCCGUAUCAUGUGUGAGUGCAACCAAAAAAUAAGAGGAUCCGUUAACUUGUAAGGAGGAAACAUAGG